rnacentral:sRNA from 2 species
CCAUAGCCCUGAUGGGAGCGGCAUCCUUUAUUUUGCGGCUGCCCUUUUUUUAGAGGGCAGCCGUAAAAUAAAGAUAUAGCGUACAGCAGGAUUAGCU